ACGUCUCAAUAACUCAACCUCUGUUUUAGUGAUACAAGAAAAUUUUUAGAUUCCACUUGGUGUCUAACUAGCGAACCGAGUAUCGAUGGUGCUUUUAUCACAGACACACCUAUCAAAUUAAGUAAAGAAACCAAACGAAAAGACUACCCCUGAAUACAGGGAAUGGUAAAAGAGGAAGGAAGGUUUUUUAUACGAGAUUUGUACAAAAAUGAAGACCUGUAUAGUAAAUCAACAAAUAACUGAGACACAUUUUUGACUGAUAUUUUAUAUACAACAUUAUACAACAUUUCACAAGCUGUAACCGAUGUAAAAAAAAAUUAUUUUGACAGUCAGAUGAUGAGUGGUAAAAAAUUUGUACUUCAACAAUUGUCAAAUUUCAUCGGUGACAUAUUUGGAUAUACUUUUGAAAUGAAAAUAGCAAGUUGUUAUUCUCAAAAUGCUAAACAACCUCUUUAUGUUUA